UNCACACCUCAGGGUAGCCUUCUCCCACU
rnacentral:piRNA from 1 species